CUUCCAAGGAAUCCCAUCUAGCAGCUUCUGUGGGCAAAGGGAGAAUAGUUGGAGGGGCCCUUCCUUUCGGUCCAAAUCCUCCCCAGAACCCGGCCUCAGGAAAGGCCACCUGACCCUCUGCUCCCUUCAUGCCUUUCCCUUAGGAGCCCUCCUCCAGAGCACCCCAGUCACAGGGCUAGAAGAAAGAACGCUGCAGCUUCUUCUGACCGGGCUCGUGCCGUUGCAGGGGGACGCGGGCACGAACCUGGAAUUGGCAGUGGACGCUCUGGAGGACCACAUCCGUCGAAAGUGGGCACAGGUUCGGGACGACGCCACAAGUGGAAGCCGCAUCACUCAGAAUUCAGCCACAUGGUACCGGUGGCUACUUGGAUUUUGCCGGCACUAAAUGCCAUCCAUCGAGAGCAAAGGCUUCACCCCAUGAAAGAGAACUUCUACAGCCGGGCAUUCUGGGCAAC